UGUCACAGCUAUAUCACUCUUCAGCCCAAGACCGGUUACUCACUGAAGCUAAGCAGGGCUGAACCUGGUCAGUACCUGGAUGGGAAACCACAUGGAAAAGCUAGGUUGCUAUUGGAA
ensembl:rRNA 5S_rRNA 5S ribosomal RNA